UACAAACCUUGUUUUUGUUACUGAAGUUUAUGUAGGAAUAAGUGUGGGAGAUCUGGGUCAGUACUGAAUUGGUGUUUUUAUGCAGAAUGGAGCUGAUACAAAUUUGUAAUUUUCAGUCUGUAGGAAGUUCUGAAUGCCGUGGUUUGUUUUCAGCUCAGGAUAGGAAGCAAUGCACUUUCAAAAGCAAGUCCUGAAUGCAGCUUUGUUUAAACUGGCACACUGAUGGCAAAAAUUGCCUAUAAUAGCACAACAUAAUUUUUCCAAUGGCUGCUUUGCUAUGUAAGACUUUAUUAUGGUGCAUUCUGGACACCUUCAGUGUUUGCAGGAGGAAUAUGCAGGAGUGUAACACCUGCAUCAUGAUCCCACUCUGGAAAAUGGAAAUACCAUUUGUUCUACUGGUGUGCAGGAAGUGUGAUUUGGCAUAUCCAAGUGGCUUUUAGGUGAUUGCAGCUUUCCAAGAACUGACUUUAUGGAACUUUACUUUGGUGCGACAGAGUUAAACCUCUGUGGCUCUAUAUUCUGAUUCGUCAGGAAUCAUCCUCAUUCAUUUUCCAUUUUAGUUCAUAAUCCACAAACUAGGAGUAUUGGUAAACCCUGUUUAGCUUUUCAGACAUCUGGAAGGUGUUAGCAUGAUUUGGCUUACAGUGCUUCUGAGUCUGCAGGAAGUACUGGGCAGAACUCUGGCUUUUUGGCCCACUGAAGAGCAGGUUGUGUCUUCAGACUUCUCUUGAUUUUGGACAGGCAGAGUGUAGCAAUGCCUGCAGUUUAAUUGACAGCUCAAGUGGAGAUACUUGUGGUUCAGUGCUCUCAGAAGUCAAAUAUAGGGAAAAAAUUGUUUUCUAACUGAGUGGCAUUCAAAAGAACUUUCUGGUCUCACUAAUGCUGCUUACAGUUCAUGUCACUACACUUUAGUGGUAAACUCCAGUAGGCAACACCUUUGAUUCCUUCAUCCAGUGGCUGAAUGGACAGUCAUCCUCAUACAUGGUCCUGAAGAAAAUCUGUGGUAGUCUGUAAGAACACACUGUUCCCACCCCUAAGUGGCACAAAGGCUGCAAAGGGGCUUCUGGUUGCAGAGGAUGGGAUAAGAACAGAAGGUACUCAAAGCUGUGUUAGGGUUCUGGUGGUCCUCAGAAUCUGAACUGGGUUUCAGGAAGGAGAUGUUUUGCUGCUCAGCUUCUUGUGAUCAAAGGAUGGGGCUUUAUGUGUCUCGCUGUUUCUCCUUAUUGAAUCUGGAAUGUUCUAAGCAAAACUUGCUAAAUAAAGAAGAUUGAAUACAACUCACAAUUCAGAGAAAAUGAGAUAACAGAUUAUAGAACACCAGACAAACAUGGAAGUAUUGAAUAAUUAUGUAGAUUGUUGCAGGAAAUGUUGUAUGAAAUGUAAUUGCAGGUUUCAUGCACAUUUUAAAGCUCUCUUAGCAGGUUUUAUUUUCAAAUAGGAAUGAUUAAAUACAAUUUUUCAAUAUUUUCACAUGAUUAAUGUAACAGGCUGAUUUUUCUUUGAGUACGUCAUAAAUACCAUCCACAUUGGUGUGCUAAUAUAUGGAGAAUUUUAUUGCUGCAGCGCUUUAUGAAAUUAUUCUUUGGGAAAUUAUAGAUAGUCAAUGAAUAAUUCAAGGGAAAGAAUAAACCAAAAUCUAAUAAAUUCUGUGUAUGACUGAA